rnacentral:rRNA from 1 species
GACUGACGCUCAGGUGCGAAAGCGUGGGAGCAAACAGGAUUAGAUACCCUGGUAGUCCACGCGUAAACGAUGUCGACUUGGAGGCUGUUNCCUGAGAAGUGGCUUCCGGAGCUAACGCGUUAAGUCGACCGCCUGGGGAGUACGGCCGCAAGGUUAAAACUCAAAUGAAUUGACGNGGGCCCGCACAAGCGGUGGAGCAUGUGGUUUAAUACGAUGCAACGCGAAGAACCUUACCUACUCUUGACAUCCACGGAAUUCGGCAGAGAUGCCUUAGUGCCUUCGGGAACCGUGAGACAGGUGCUGCAUGGCUGUCGUCAGCUCGUGUUGUGAAAUGUUGGGUUAAGUCCCGCAACGAGCGCAACCCUUAUCCUUUGUUGCCAGCGAUUCGGUCGGGAACUCAAAGGAGACUGCCGGUGAUAAACCGGAGGAAGGUGGGGAUGACGUCAAGUCAUCAUGGCCCUUACGAGUAGGGCUACACACGUGCUACAAUGGCGCAUACAAAGAGAAGCGACCUCGCGAGAGCAAGCGGACCUCAUAAAGUGCGUCGUAGUCCGGAUCGGAGUCUGCAACUCGACUCCGUGAAGUCGGAAUCGCUAGUAAUCGUGGAUCAGAAUGCCACGGUGAAUACGUUCCCGGGCCUUGUACACACCGCCCGUCACACCAUGGGAGUGGGUUGCAAAAGAAGUAGGUAGCUUAACCUUCGGGAGGGCGCUUACCACUUUGUGAUUCAUGACUGGGGUGAAGUCGUAACAAGGUAACC